GGGGAUGUAGCUCAGUUGGCAGAGUGCUUGCCUAANGUGUAUGAGGCUCUGGAUUCAUUCCAUCCCCA
rnacentral:tRNA from 1 species